UUGUUACUGAUUUUCUUAUAUUUGUUUUUGUUUAUUGGGUUUAUUUGGCAAAUUAUUGUUUUGUUGUUGUAUUCUUAUUGAUUUAAUAUUUUUUGUUAUAGUUUAUUUGUACUGUGGGGGUAUAAAUUAUUUUGUUUUUGUAAGUUGGCUUUUUUUGCUGUACCUUGUGUAUCAGGGUUUAUUAAUUUUUAUUAUUUAUUUGUAUUUCCCGAUUUCAUGGGAGUUAGUUAAUUAUUUUAGUUACUGUUUCAUCAGUAUUAAUGAUAUUUUUCUGGUAGUGAUAUUUUAAUCGUCUUUGGUGGUAUCUGGUUUUCUUGGAGAUGAAUUUAAUUCACAUUUCUUGUUUAAUUUUACUUUUUGUAGUUUGGGUUUUACUUGUUGUGAAGGUGUUGGGGGAUGAGCUCCGAUUCUUGUUUUAUAACUUAUUUAUUGUUUAAUUUUUGUGGACUUUGUGUUGGUCAUCUAUUUGAGUAUGUUAAAAUUUUACUUUUUUAUUUGUGAUUUAUUUAGUUGUUUAAUUUUUUUACUUGAAAGUUCAGUUUAUUUUUUUUUCUGUUGUUUUAUUGAUUGAAUUAGUAUAUGUAUUUAUUUUUGUUUAGUUUGGUUUAUUGUUGCUGAUUCUUUAAAAGGAACUAGGCAAGUUUAUAGUGUUCGCCUGUUUAACAAAAACAUCUCUUCUUGUGAAUUUUUUGAAGUAUGGUCUGCCCACUGAUUUUAUUGAAGGGCCGCGGUAUUUUGACCGUGCAAAGGUAGCAUAAUCAUUAGUUCUUUAAUUGUGGACUGGUAUGAAUGGCUUGACGAGAUACUAUCUGUCUUUUUGGGAUUAUUAUUGAAUUUGGUUUUUGGGUAAAAAUACCUAAAUUUUGUUAUGGGACGAGAAGACCCUAUAGAGUUUUAUGUAGUUCAUUCUCUUUAGUUUGAUUUAUUUUGUUGGGUUAACUGCAUUUUGUUGGGGUGAUGGGAAAAUAAGUUGAACUUUUCCUUGUUAGUAAUUCACUUGUUUGUGUUUUUAUGAUCCUUUGUUAUUGAUUGUAAGAUUAAAUUACCUUAGGGAUAACAGCGUAAUCUUUUUUGAGAGUUCUUAUUGACAAAAGGGUUUGCGACCUCGAUGUUGGAUUAAGAUGAAUUUUUGGCGUAGAGGCUUUAUGAAUAAAUUGGGUCUGUUCGACCUUUAAAAUCUUACAUGAUCUGAGUUCAAACCGGCGUGAGCCAGGUUGGUUUCUAUCUAUAAUUUUUUAUAAUUUCUUAGUACGAGAGGACCAGAUGUUUGGAAUAAUUUUUCUUUAUUUGAGGUUUAUUAAUUU
rnacentral:rRNA from 1 species